GUUUUUAUGGUGUAUUCAUGCACGUUGAAAUUUCAUCUCAAAAGAGUAUUUUCUAUACUAAAAAU
rnacentral:tRNA from 1 species